GGGUCCUUAGCUCAGUUGGUAGAGCGGCGGUCUCCAAAACCGUAGGUCGUAGGUUCAAGUCCUGCAGGGCCCG
rnacentral:tRNA from 1 species